CCUACGGGAGGCAGCAGUGGGGAAUAUUGGACAAUGGGGGGAACCCUUAUCCAGCCAUGCCGCGUGUGUGAAGAAGGCCCUCGGGUUGUAAAGCACUUUCAGUGAGGAAGAACGCCUGGUGGUUAAUACCCAUCAGGAAAGACAUCACUCACAGAAGAAGCACCGGCUAACUCCGUGCCAGCAGCCGCGGUAAUACGGAGGGUGCGAGCGUUAAUCGGAAUUACUGGGCGUAAAGCGCGCGUAGGUGGCUUGAUAAGCCGGUUGUGAAAGCCCCGGGCUCAACCUGGGAACGGCAUCCGGAACUGUCAAGCUAGAGUGCAGGAGAGGAAGGUAGAAUUCCCGGUGUAGCGGUGAAAUGCGUAGAGAUCGGGAGGAAUACCAGUGGCGAAGGCGGCCUUCUGGACUGACACUGACACUGAGGUGCGAAAGCGUGGGUAGCAAACAGGAUUAGAUACCCUAGUAGUC
rnacentral:rRNA from 1 species